AACGAACGCUGGCGGCAUGCCUAACACAUGCAAGUCGAACGAGACCUUCGGGUCUAGUGGCGCACGGGUGCGUAACGCGUGGGAACCUGCCCUUAGGUUCGGAAUAACUCCCCGAAAGGGGUGCUAAUACCGGAUAAUGUCUUCGGCCCAAAGCUUUAUCGCCUUUGGAUGGGCCCGCGUUGGAUUAGCUAGUUGGUAGGGUAAAAGCCUACCAAGGCGACGAUCCAUAGAUGGUCUGAGAGGAUGAUCAGCCACACUGGGACUGAGACACGGCCCAGACUCCUACGGGAGGCAGCAGUGGGGAAUAUAGGACAACGGGCGAAAGGCUGAUCCAGCAAGGCCGCGUGAGUGAUGAAGGCCGUAGGGUAGUAAAGCUCUUUUACCCGGGAUGAUAAUGACAGUACCGGGAGAAUAAGCUCCGGCUAACUCCGUG
rnacentral:rRNA from 1 species